AAUAGAUACCCGGGUAGUCCACGCCGUAAACGAUGAGUGCUAAGUGUUAGAGGGUUUCCGCCCUUUAGUGCUGCAGCUAACGCAUUAAGCACUCCGCCUGGGGAGUACGGCCGCAAGGCUGAAACUCAAAGGAAUUGACGGGGGCCCGCACAAGCGGUGGAGCAUGUGGUUUAAUUCGAAGCAACGCGAAGAACCUUACCAGGUCUUGACAUCCUCUGAUCUCCCUGGAGACAGGGCCUUCCCCUUCGGGGGACAGAGUGACAGGUGGUGCAUGGUUGUCGUCAGCUCGUGUCGUGAGAUGUUGGGUUAAGUCCCGCAACGAGCGCAACCCUUGACCUUAGUUGCCAGCAUUGAGUUGGGCACUCUAAGGUGACUGCCGGUGACAAACCGGAGGAAGGUGGGGAUGACGUCAAAUCAUCAUGCCCCUUAUGACCUGGGCUACACACGUGCUACAAUGGAUGGUACAAAGGGCUGCGAGACCGCGAGGUUAAGCCAAUCCCAGAAAACCAUUCCCAGUUCGGAUUGCAGGCUGCC
rnacentral:rRNA from 1 species